UACGUAGGGUGCAAGCGUUACUCGGAAUUACUGGGCGUAAAGCGUGCGCAGGCGGCUUUGCAAGACAGAUGUGAAAUCCCCGGGCUUAACCUGAGAACUGCAUUUGUGACUGCAUGGCUAGAGUGCGGCAGAGGGGGAUGGAAUUCCGCGUGUAGCAGUGAAAUGCGUAGAUAUGCGGAGGAACACCGAUGGCGAAGGCAAUCCCCUGGGCCUGCACUGACGCUCAUGCACGAAAGCGUGGGGAGCAAACAGG
rnacentral:rRNA from 1 species